rnacentral:rRNA from 1 species
CCUACGGGAGGCAGCAGUGAGGAAUAUUGGUCAAUGGACGCAAGUCUGAACCAGCCAUGCCGCGUGAAGGAUGAAGGCCUUUGGGUUGUAAACUUCUUUUAUGUGGGAAGCGGUACCAUAAGAAUAAGCACCGGCUAACUCCGUGCCAGCAGCCGCGGUAAUACGGAGGGUGCAAGCGUUAUCCGGAUUCACUGGGUUUAAAGGGUGUGUAGGCGGGUUAUUAAGUCAGUGGUGAAAUCUCCGGGCUCAACCCGGAAACUGCCAUUGAUACUAUUAGCCUUGAAUUCUGUUGAGGUGGGCGGAAUAUGUCAUGUAGCGGUGAAAUGCAUAGAUAUGACAUAGAACACCAAUUGCGAAGGCAGCUCACUAAACGCAUUGACGCUGAGGCACGAAAGCGUGGGGAUCAAACAGGAUUAGAUACCCUUGUAGUC